ACGGGGUAGGAUCACGUAGGUGACGUACCCCCAGGGCGAGGAUAGCCACGGGAAACUGUGGGUAAUACUCGAUAAUCUUCCCGAUCGUGAUGGUUGGGAAGCAAUGGGUGUGAUUCCACCUGGGGAGCGGCUUACGCAGUAUCAGCUAGUUGGUGAGGUAACGGCUCACCAAGGCUUUGACGCUUAGGGGGUGUGAGAGCAUGGCCCCCACCACUGGCACUGAGACACUGGCCAGACACCUACGGGUGGCUGCAGUCGAGAAUCUUCGGCAAUGGACGAAAGUCUGACCGAGCGACGCCGCGUGCGGGAUGAAGGUCUUCGGAUUGUAAACCGCUGUCAGAGGGGAUGAAGUAUACGAGAGCUAUCUCUUGUAUUUGACAGAGCCUCAGAGGAAGCACGGGCUAAGUUCGUGCCAGCAGCCGCGGUAAUACGAACUGUGCGAACGUUAUUCGGAAUCACUGGGCUUAAAGGGUGCGUAGGUGGUUUUCUAAGUCACGUGUGAAAUCUUCUGGCUCAACCAGAAAACUGCGCGUGAUACUGGAGGACUUGAGUGAGGUAGGGGUGUGUGGAACUUCCGGUGGAGCGGUG
rnacentral:rRNA from 1 species